rnacentral:rRNA from 1 species
UACGUAGGGUGCUAGCGUUAAUCGGAAUUACUGGGCGUAAAGCGUGCGCAGGCGGUUUUGUAAGCCAGAUGUGAAAUCCCCGGGCUCAACCUGGGAAUGGCAUUUGGGACUGCAAGGCUGGAGUGCGGCAGAGGAGACUGGAAUUCCUGGUGUAGCAGUGAAAUGCGUAGAUAUCAGGAGGAAUACCGAUGGCGAAGGCAGGUCUCUGGGCUGACACUGACGCUCAUGCACGAAAGCUAGGGGAGCAAACAGG